rnacentral:lncRNA from 10 species
GAGCGCAGUGGCACGACCAUGCUUCCCUGCAGCCUCAACUUCCCGGGCUCAAGCGAUCCUCCCAUCUCAGCCUCCUUAGUAGCUGGGACUACAGACACACACCACCAUGCCUGGCUAUUUUUUUUUCUUUUUUAUUUUUUUGCAGACAGGGUUUAGCCCUGUUGCUCAGGCUGAUCUCUGAACUCCUGAACCCAAGGAAUCCACCUGCCUCAGCCUCUCAAAUUGCUGGGAUUAUAGGCAUGAGCCACCACGCCAGCCAGGAUGAAGAUGAGGUCUCAACAUCUUGCCCAAGCUGCUCUGGAAC